rnacentral:tRNA from 1 species
GGGGGUGUGGCGGAACUGGCAGACGCCGGGGACUUAAAAUCCCCUGGGGUAACCCCCGUGAGGGUUCGAGUCCCUCCACCCCCA